CAUUUCUGAGCAGAUGUACGUAAAGAGCUGUCCACUCCAGCGUCGCUCGGGGGAGAUACUUAAGCACAUGCAUGAGGGUUUCUCACUGAACAGGGAACUCAUUGAUGUCACUAGACUAAGUGGUUAAUCAGCUUCAGGGAUUUGUCUACCUCUGUCUUCCAGUGCACUGCUGUGCCUGACUUCUUACAUGGCUUGCUGGGGAUCCAAAUUCAGUGCAAGACUUGGAAUUCCUCAGAAGAACUGGUGUCCCGUUCAUCUUUGAAGAUUCCAGGCUGAGUGCAGACAUGAAAGCAAGCAGAGCAAACUGGUUGGACUGACUUCUCUUGGUUUAAGCUGAAGCUUUGCGUUCUGGCGUGUGAGACCAUCCAAACAAAAUCUCUAAAUGUCAUGAAGGAUGAAGUGAUGGACAGAUCAGAGUCCAAAUACAUUCCAUAAGUACAACUUAACUAAUGAGUGCACGGGGUAAUUGUGAGGUCCUGCUUCACCUCUGCUGCAGAGUCAUUCUUCUGGACAGAGAAGAGAUGAGAAGAACAAAGUGUAUGAAGGCAGAGCAAAAGCUUUGCUCCUUAUAGACACCUAUAUUUGCCUGAAUUCUUUGAUUAAAAGUGACAGAAACUCAAUUUCAGCCAUUUUAAGCAAAGAAUUGGAUUUAUUGGUAAGCAACUGGGCUAUCCCUGAGAUAAAGAUGAACUGCAAGGAUACAUUAAUAUUCAGAGGCUGGAGAAAUUUGAUGGUAGCAAGGCACUAUUGUCUCCAGGCAUUUCUCACUUCUGUUUCUUUUUUGGUCUUGGCUCCCUUCUUUUGGGUACCUUCUCAACAUGGCAUGUUGUGAUCCUUCCUAAUGGAAACCCUGUGAUUCCAUCUCUCUGUCUUCUAGUAAAGAAAUAAGAAAGUCUUCCAUGUCAGGUUCCAUUUAAGAAAAAAAAUGGCUGGGCAGUGGUGGCACACCUUUAAUCCCUCCCAACUUUCAGGAGGCAGAGGCAGGAAGAUCUCAGAACAGUCAGGGAUACACAGAGAAGCCUGUCUCGAAAAACAAACAAACAAACAAACAAACAAACAACGAUAACAACGACAAAAGUAACAUCAACACCCCAUAAACUCUGUAACCUGGGUCUAGGUACCUCUCAACACCCACAAUAGUCUUGAAGGUUAAAGAUAAUAAGACUGGGUUAUCCUGGGUCCUAUACCCUAUACCUACAUAGGGAGGAAGGUUUCUGACCAGGGCUGAGGGAAGAACAUUGGACCAGUGAUAAUGGCCAGAGCUUCCAAAUCAACUUUGCAUAAGCUUAAAAGAUUUGGGGUCCAAGAAAAUAACUCAGAGUAAACCAAGUGAGAAUAUUUUAUGUUGAAUUUCAGAAUUCAGAUUUCUGUUUGUGAAACUGAUAUUCCCUCUCAUUAACUAGGACUCUUUAUUCUGUAGCGAGGUCUUGUAGAAAUGUUUAAGAAUUAUCUUCAAGUUUGCGUUCAGAGGAGAGCUGAUAUCAAAUCCUAUGAGUAACAGCAGAGAAUGGUAGUGAGGACAGUCAGAGGCUUAGAAGGUCAAACUGUUGCUCAGUGAUGACUCAAGCCAAACAGCUAGCCAGGGAAAUGAGAACAUGGGCUAUAUCCCAUAUACAGACAGAAGUCUUAGAAAGGGGGAUCCAUGCCUUGCCUCCUUUGCCUCUAAGACCAUUUUGAAGGGAAUUGUAUCUUUCUAUAGAUAGACAGACUGAUAAAACACAUGCCAAAUGAUGCUCUAUUUUCUGAAGCAGUCACAAGUUGAGAAUAGGACUAAGCACCAAAUUUUGCAUUUGUUCCUUUGGUUCAUGAGCACAGUACAGUGGCUCAUUUUCUCAGAAAUCAAAGUCCUCUGGAAGCCAAUCUCAUAUGCUGUGUCUGUAUUAGACAGAGCCCAGGGGAUAAGGAGAGUAGGAGAAGAAGGGGCUGUCUGCAUCAGUUGGCCACUGAGGGGCAGUGGGCUGCACACAGACAGCCUGGUCUCCAGUCGAGCAUAGGUCUGGAAACUCGGAGACCCAAUGGGUUGUGAUUUCCACCUACAUGGGAUGUAAGGUGUUCGACCAUGUCUCCUGGAUCCCUGGCUCCUGUUGAAGUUACCAACCCCACAGCCCCCACAGGAGAGGUUUGUGGCUAUCAGUCACACAGGAGCAGCACCAAGCCUUCCCACAUGCAAAUAAGGUUUCCCCCAAACUCUCAGUCCAAGCCGAUGAGAGGUAACUGCUGUUGAACCCUGAACCACCCCCAAAACUGUAUAUAAAUCCUAUCCAGGGAAUUAAAGGUGUGCGAAAAC